rnacentral:rRNA from 1 species
UACGAAGGGGGCUAGCGUUGCUCGGAAUCACUGGGCGUAAAGGGUGCGUAGGCGGGUCUUUAAGUCAGGGGGUGAAAUCCUGGAGCUCAACUCCAGAACUGCCUUUGAUACUGAAGAUCUUGAGUUCGGGAGAGGUGAGUGGAACUGCGAGUGUAGAGGUGAAAUUCGUAGAUAUUCGCAAGAACACCAGUGGCGAAGGCGGCUCACUGGCCCGAUACUGACGCUGAGGCACGAAAGCGUGGGGAGCAAACAGGG